CCAAACUUGGUCAUUUAGAGGAAGUAAAAGUCGUAACAAGGUUUCCGUAGGUGAACCUGCGGAAGGAUCAUUAUAAGGACACUUGUCUCCUUCAUACCCUUUGGUACUAGUUUACCAAUGUUUUAGAUAACCUUAAUUCUGGAUUUUUGAUCAUAUGUUAUUAUUCUGACAGAAGGCUUUUUGUGGAAAUAUUGAUAAAACUUUCAACAAUGGAUCUCUUGGUUCUGGCAUCGAUGAAGAACGCAGC
rnacentral:misc_RNA from 1 species